rnacentral:rRNA from 1 species
GGAGGAUCCGAGCGUUAUCCGGAAUUAUUGGGUUUAAAGGGUGCGUAGGCGGCCCGGUAAGUCAGGGGUGAAAGACGGUGGCUCAACCAUCGCAGUGCCUUUGAUACUGCCGGGCUUGAAUAUACUUGAGGUGGGCGGAAUGUGACAAGUAGCGGUGAAAUGCAUAGAUAUGUCACAGAACGCCGAUUGCGAAGGCAGCUCACUAAGGUAAGAUUGACGCUGAGGCACGAAAGCGUGGGGAUCAAACAGGAUUAGAUACCCUGGUAGUCCACGCCCUAAACGAUGAACACUCGGUGCUGGCGAUAUACGGUCAGUGCCCAAGCGAAAGCGUUAAGUGUUCCACCUGGGGAGUACGCCCGCAAGGGUGAAACUCAAAGGAAUUGACGGGGACCCGCACAAGCGGCGGAGCAUGCGGAUUAAUUCGAUGCAACGCGAAGAACCUUACCAAGGCUUGACAUAUACGAGAACGGGCCAGAAAUGGUCAACUCUUUGGACACUCGUAAACAGGUGG